ACAAUGGAGAGUUUGAUCCUGGCUCAGGAUGAACGCUAGCGGCAGGCUUAAUACAUGCAAGUCGUGGGGCAGCGCAGGUAGCAAUACUGGGCGGCGACCGGCAAACGGGUGCGGAACACGUACACAACCUUCCUACAAGUGGGGAAUAGCCCAGAGAAAUUUGGAUUAAUACCCCGUAACAUAACGAUGUGGCAUCACAUUGUUAUUAUAGCUUCGGCGCUUGUUGAUGGGUGUGCGGCUGAUUAGAUAGUUGGCGGGGUAACGGCCCACCAAGUCUACGAUCAGUAGCUGAUGUGAGAGCAUGAUCAGCCACACGGGCACUGAGACACGGGCCCGACUCCUA
rnacentral:rRNA from 1 species